rnacentral:rRNA from 1 species
GUGCCAGCAGCCGCGGUAAUACGUAGGGCGCGAGCGUUGUCCGGAUUUAUUGGGCGUAAAGAGCUCGUAGGUGGUUUGUCGCGUCUGCCGUGAAAGCCUGUGGCUUAACUGUGGGUUUGCGGUGGAUACGGGCAUAACUUGAGGCAGGUAGGGGAGAAUGGAAUUCCCGGUGUAGCGGUGAAAUGCGCAGAUAUCGGGAGGAACACCGGUGGCGAAGGCGGUUCUCUGGGCCUUGCCUGACACUGAGGAGCGAAAGCGUGGGGAGCGAACAGGAUUAGAUACCCCCGUAGUCC